rnacentral:rRNA from 1 species
GACGAACGCUGGCGGCGGGCUUAACACAUGCAAGUCGAACGGAAAGGCCCUGCUUUUGUGGGGUGCUCGAGUGGCGAACGGGGGAGUAACACGUGAGUAACCGGCCCUUGACUUUGGGAUAACUUCAGGAAACUGGGGCUAAUACCGUAUAGGAUCUCCUGCUGCAUGGUGGGGGGGGGAAAGUUGCGGCGGGUGGGGAUGGACUCGCGGCUGAUCAGCUUGUUGGUGGGGGAGUGGCUUACCAAGGCUUUGACGGGUAGCCGGCCUGAGAGGGUGACCGGCCACAUUGGGACUGCGAUACGGCGCAGUGUCCUACGGGAGGCAGCAGUGGGGAAUCUUGCCCAAUGGGCGGAAGCCUGAUGCAGCAACGCUGCGUGCGGGAUGACGGCCUUCGGGUUGUAAACCGCUUUCGCCUGUGACGAAGCGUGAGUGACGGUAAUGGGUAAAGAAGCACCGGCUAACUACGUG